CUACGGGUCGCUCCAGUGAGGAAUAUUGCACAAUGGGGGAAACCCUGAUGCAGCAACGCCGCGUGGAGGAUGACGCAUUUCGGUGUGUAAACUCCUUUUAUAUGUCAAGAAAAUGACGGUAGCAUAUGAAUAAGCACCGGCUAACUCCGUGCCAGCAGCCGCGGUAAUACGGAGGGUGCAAGCGUUAUUCGGAAUCACUGGGCGUAAAGGACGCGUAGGCGGGAUAGAAAGUCAGGUGUGAAAUCCUAUGGCUCAACCAUAGAACUGCACUUGAAACUUCUAACCUAGAGUAUGGGAGGGGGAGAUGGAAUUAGUGGUGUAGGGGUAAAAUCCGUAGAUAUCACUAGGAAUACCGAAAGCGAAGGCGAUCUCCUGGAACAAUACUGACGCUAAGGCGUGAAAGCGUGGGGAGCAAACAGGAUUAGAUACCCGCGUAGUC
rnacentral:rRNA from 1 species